CCUACGGGAGGCAGCAGUGAGGAAUAUUGGUCAAUGGACGCAAGUCUGAACCAGCCAUGCCGCGUGCAGGAAGACGGCCCUAUGAGUUGUAAACUGCUUUUGUACGAGGGUAAACGCAGAUACGUGUAUCUGUCUGAAUGUACCUUACGAAUAAGGAUCGGCUAACUCCGUGCCAGCAGCCGCGGUAAUACGGAGGAUUCAAGCGUUAUCCGGAUUUAUUGGGUUUAAAGGGAGCGUAGGCGGUCUGAUAAGUCAGAGGUGAAAUCCCGAGGCUCAACCUCGGAAUUGCCUCUGAUACUGGUCGGCUAGAGAGUAGUUGCGGUAGGCGGAAUGUAUGGUGUAGCGGUGAAAUGCUUAGAGAUCAUACAGAACACCGAUUGCGAAGGCAGCCUACCAAGCUACUUCUGACGUUGAGGCACGAAAGCGUGGGGAGCAAACAGGAUUAGAUACCCGGGUAGUC
rnacentral:rRNA from 1 species